UACAAAAGCAAGCCAACUGCAAGGUUCAUGGCAAAUGAUGGGGUCAUAGUCCUAGGGUAGGGUCAUAGGCCUGCCAUACUGGUCCUACCCAAGGACUACCCCACAUAAAGGACAGGACCCCAAGUCUGCCCCGACUGAGUUAAGGAGUCUCCAUCAUCCAGUCGGCAACAGGUCCUGUAUCAUCCAGUCGGAGACUAGCAUUCGGAAGGUACCAAGCUAACUGACUGGAUACACUCGGUACAUCAUAACCCCUCUGGAGGGAAACGGUCGUACGUUUCCGGGUGCAUUUAUUAGCAUUUAGAGCAUACGUUACC
rnacentral:lncRNA from 1 species